AUCCAACUGACGAGUCCUAAAUAGGACAAGACGAGCGUCCUGGUU
rnacentral:hammerhead_ribozyme from 1 species